ACCUAACCAGUACAACAUUCUCUUUUUCUGUUUUUUUUUAAUUGGUAUUCACACAGCUCAUAUCCUCCUUUGAGAAGUAGAAACCAUUUAGCACGGACAUGUUUAUAUACCAGUUGUCAUCUUUGCAGAAGAGCCCUUUUGAUUACCACUUUCUUUUAUAAACGAUGGUGACAAAACAUUGCAUCAACAAAUACGACCUCUAAUCUAAGUAUUUCAUGUUAGCCCAUUGCAACCUGUCCGAAGAAUAAAAAUAGCCAACCAGCUUCAGCAGCAAUGGAUAUACAUAUUACGCAGCUGGCUGAUGAGUGAUGACUUCACAAAACUAAAACAUGAAAGCGUUAUUUAUUAAUGUGACUUUCAUGGUCAAUAUUUUGAUCUUCUAAGGCUUUUCAAGUGUGUGGAUUUCCUCCUCAAGCUAAUUAUUUUUGGGGGAUUACGUGGAUUGGGUCAACCAGAGUCUAGAGACAAUCCAAGUAACAAUGUUCAAGGUUGGGGGACGAAUACUGUUUGCGGAGUUUCAUAUACAUUUGGUCCUGACAAGGUGACAGAGUUCGUACAAAAGCACGGCCUGGUUUUUAUUGUCCGUGCUCACCAGGUUGUAAAUGGAUACAAGAAAAGGGAGUCUGGAAACCUUCCUGCAGGAGUCGAUGUUUUCGCGAGGACCACCACAACUAAACCAAGAAACUUUCCAACAGGAGUUAAGUUACUACUAGACAGUAAAAAAUGGAGCAGAAAUGAAGCCUAUCAUGCCAGUUGCAGAAGGCAGUUUGCUUGUGUAGGAUCCAAAUAGCGUUCAUCAUAAUGUAAAAGUUACAUGGGUAAUGUGAUUUUAUUUGGCAAUUGGUCAAUUACAUUUAAAAAGUUCACAUUUCUCUCUUCUCUUCUCUCAACUUAUCCAUCUCCUUGACUUUGUGCUUUAGAUAUAUCAUAUAUGUAAUUGAACUGAUUUAUUGAAUUUAUUAACAAGAUUAAAGGAUACAUAAAUGGUAGUUAACAAUCUUUUAUUAAAA